GAUUUCGAUUUGAUUGUGUGAUUGACUGAUUGUACUUCAUGGUGCUUGCACUUCCAAGGACAAUUUAUUCCAGUGCCCGAUUCAUUGUCCGUCUCAACCAAACCUCACAUGGUGGUGCGAAUUUAUGCUAGGAAUAAAUGUUCCAGGGUUGGAGAAGAGGGGGUUGAGCAGCAGCUGAGCUUAGGUACAGAGCUAAUGUUUAGUUCAUUGUCUCAGGCAUGGAUUUACAGAUUCAAAAUUUUCUUGUACACUUGCUCG